GAUGAACGCUGGCGGCGUGCUUAACACAUGCAAGUCGAACGAUUAAAGCCCCUUCGGGGGUGUAUAGAGUGGCGAACGGGUGAGUAACACGUGGGCAACCUGCCCUGCGCUUCGGGAUAACUCAGGGAAACCUGAGCUAAUACCGGAUACUCCUUGAGGAUCGCAUGGUCUUCUCGGGAAAGUUCCGGCGGCGCAGGAUGGGCCCGCGGCCCAUUAGCUUGUUGGUAGGGUAACGGCCUACCAAGGCGACGAUGGGUAGCCGAGCUGAGAGGCUGAUCGGCCACACUGGGACUGAGACACGGCCCAGACUCCUACGGGAGGCAGCAGUGGGGAAUAUUGGACAAUGGGCGCAAGCCUGAUCCAGCCAUGCCGCGUGAGUGAUGAAGGCCUUAGGGUUGUAAAAUCCUUUCACCGGUGAAGAUAAUGACUGUAGCCGGAGAAGAAGCCCCGGCUAACUUCGUGCCAGCAGCCGCAGUAAGAC
rnacentral:rRNA from 1 species